GACGAACGCUGGCGGCGUGCUUAACACAUGCAAGUCGAACGGUGACGACAGGAGCUUGCUUCUGUUUGAUCAGUGGCGAACGGGUGAGUAACACGUGAGUAACCUGCCCCAAACUCUGGAAUAAGCGCUGGAAACGGCGUCUAAUACCGGAUAUGACACCAAUCCGCAUGGGUAUGGUGUGGAAAGUUUUUCGGUUUGGGAUGGACUCGCGGCCUAUCAGCUUGUUGGUGAGGUAAUGGCUCACCAAGGCGACGACGGGUAGCCGGCCUGAGAGGGCGACCGGCCACACUGGGACUGAGACACGGCCCAGACUCCUACGGGAGGCAGCAGUGGGGAAUAUUGCACAAUGGGCGAAAGCCUGAUGCAGCGACGCCGCGUGAGGGAUGACGGCCUUCGGGUUGUAAACCUCUUUCAGCAGGGAAGAAGCGCAAGUGACGGUACCUGCAGAAGAAGCACCGGCUAACUACGUGCCAGCCGCCGCAGUAACAC
rnacentral:rRNA from 1 species